rnacentral:rRNA from 1 species
UGGAGGGCAAGUCUGGUGCCAGCAGCCGCGGUAAUUCCAGCUCCAAUAGCGUAUAUUAAAGUUGUUGCAGUUAAAAAGCUCGUAGUUGAAUUUCGAGAUCAGUACGCUGGUCGUGCCUUCGGUAUGCACUGGUGUCACUGGUUUCUCCCUUCUGAAGAACCGUCAUGUCAUUAAGUUGGUGUGGCGGGGAAUCAGGACUGUUACUUUGAAAAAAUUAGAGUGUUUAAAGCAGGCUCGCGCUUGAAUACAUUAGCAUGGAAUAAUGAAAUAGGACGUUUGACCCUAUUUUGUUGGUUUCUAGGAUCGACGUAAUGAUUAAUAGGGAUAGUUGGGGGCAUUAGUAUUCAAUUGUCAGAGGUAAAAUUCUUGGAUUUAUUGAAGACUAACUACUGCGAAAGCAUUUGCCAAGGAUGUUUUCAUUAAUCAAGAACGAAAGUUAGGGGAUCGAAGACGAUCAGAUACCGUCGUAGUCUUAACCAUAAACUAUGCCGACUAGGGAUCGGAUGAUGUUAAUUUUUUAAUGACUCAUUCGGCGCCUUACGGGAAAC